AAUCCAUAGGUUAAUGAGGCGAACCGGGGGAACUGAAACAUCUAAGUACCCCGAGGAAAAGAAAUCAACCGAGAUUCCCCCAGUAGCGGCGAGCGAACGGGGAGGAGCCCAGAGCCUGAAUCAGCAUGUGUGUUAGUGGAAGCGUCUGGAAAGGCGCGCGAUACAGGGUGACAGCCCCGUACACAAAAGCGCAUGUGCUGUGAGCUCGAUGAGUAGGGCGGGACACGUGGUAUCCUGUCUGAAUAUGGGGGGACCAUCCUCCAAGGCUAAAUACUCCUGACUGACCGAUAGUGAACCAGUACCGUGAGGGAAAGGCGAAAAGAACCCCGGCGAGGGGAGUGAAAAAGAACCUGAAACCGUGUACGUACAAGCAGUGGGAGCACCCUUUGGGGUGUGA
rnacentral:rRNA from 3 species